UACGAAGGGGGCUAGCGUUGUUCGGAAUUACUGGGCGUAAAGGGCGCGUAGGAGGCGUGUCAAGUCAGGCGUGAAAGCCCCGGGCUCAACCUGGGAACCGCGCUUGAGACUGGCAUGCUCGAGUUCGGGAGAGGAUGGUGGAAUUCCCAGUGUAGAGGUGAAAUUCGUAGAUAUUGGGAAGAACACCGAUGGCGAAGGCAGCCAUCUGGACCGACACUGACGCUGAGGCGCGAAAGCGUGGGGAGCAAACAGG
rnacentral:rRNA from 1 species